rnacentral:rRNA from 1 species
CGCCAGCAGCCGCGGUAAAACGUAGGAGGCGAGCGUUAUCCGGAUUUACUGGGUGUAAAGCGUGUGCAGGCGGUUGACUAAGUUGGAUGUGAAAGCUCCCGGCUCAACUGGGAGAGGUCGUUCAAGACUGGUCGACUGGAGAGCAGUAGGGGAAGGUGGAAUUCCGGGUGUAGUGGUGAAAUGCGUAGAUAUCCGGAGGAACACCAGUGGCGAAGGCGGCCUUCUGGACUGCGUCUGACGCUCAGACACGAAAGCUAGGGUAGCAAACGGGAUUAGAGACCCCGGUAGUCCUAGCCGUAAACAAUGUGAACUUGGCGGCGGAUGGGUAAAACCAUUCGGUGCCGAAGCAAACGCGAUAAGUUCACCACCUGGGGACUACGGCCGCAAGGUUAAAACUCAAAGGAAUUGACGGGGGCCCGCACA